GAAAAUAUAUAUUUCCUCGUCAAUCCGUGGCCAAACCAAUAGAUGAUGUCCUUAUCCCUCCCACUCACUCGCUCCAAGACUCAUCCUCCUCAUUAAACAGCUUCUACAAGCCUUGAAUCACUGAUAACUAAGUUGGCGAAUUAUUCGAUUCGUACAGGUAUGGCAGCGAUUACCACGUUACUGCCGCAUAUGUGCCCCAAAGUCUUUUAUACAAAGAAUGCCAUAGUCUGUUUUGGAAUGCGCUCUCGUCACUUCGGAAGUUCUUUGUGGAAAGUGAAUCACUUACAGGAGCUAGGGGUGAGGAAACACAAAGCACGUGCAAGGAGUUUGUCUAGGAAGAUAAUUUCUAAUGGAUAUGUGGAGAAGGAUUCAUAUAAAGCUAAAAUUUAUAAAAGGCUGGAUUCUUGCUUGGUUAUCCCCCCACCAGUGGGUAAGAAGCCUCGGGCAAUUAUCAAGUUCCUGGGAGGUGCCUUUGUUGGAGCUGUUCCUGAAGUUACAUAUAGCCACUUAAUCGAGCUUUUGGCAAAGGAAGGGUAUCUUGUAAUCUCCGUACCAUAUAAUGUGACAUUUGAUCAUUCUGAAGCUGCUAAAGAAGUGUAUGAAAAAUUUAAUUCUUGCUUGGAUACGAUCUUAGGAUCUGGAAUUCCUGAUGCUAAUCUGACAGCCAAAGAUCUUAUUAAUCUUCCUAUUUUUUCUGUUGGUCAUAGCAAUGGUGCACUACUUCAGUUGCUGACGGGAAGCUAUUUUGGUGAAAAUAUACCAAAGGCUAAUGCUAUAAUCUCAUUCAACAACAGGCCAGCAUCAGAGGCAGUCCCAUACUUUGAGCAGUUUGGUCCUCUGGUAAGUCAGAUGGUGCCUAUAGUGGAAGCCUCUCCAGUAUAUUCACUGGCUACAAGCGCUUCAGGAGAUGCAUGGAAGGCAUUGCUUGAUGCAGCUGGAACAAUCGCACAAGAAUAUGAUCAAGAAGCCAGGGUGUCUUUUAAUAAAUUUGUCGAUCAGUUGCCUUCGGUUAUGAAUCAGGUUACCCAAGGAACAUCCGAGUUCAAGCCAACACCUGCUAAGAACCGUGAUUGCUUUAUGAACUCUUACAGUGUACCUCACACGCUACUAGUGAAAUUCAGUUCUGAUGCAAUCGAUGAAACAGAUGUGGUUGAAGAGAUCUUGAAGCCGCGCAUAGAAUCUGUUGGUGGCACACUUGAAAAAGUCACAUUAAGUGGCACUCAUCUCACACCCUGUAUACAGGAUAUCAAAUGGAAAGUAGGUUACGCAUACACACCAGUUGACGCUAUUGCUCAAAGUCUUAAAACUCUCUCCGUAAGCGACACUAGGGUUCUUGCAAGAACUGUCACGGACUGGUUCAAGAGCUUUGAGACCUAGCGAGCCAAAAUGCCUUAAACUCCAUGUGCACAUAAACCCUAUUACAAAUUACAAAGCAUAUAGUUUUCAAGUUACAGUUGAAAUUCAAAACCACAUAGAGUUUGGAUUCAGUUUAAUGUUCGUCCAUGUUCAGUCUAAGUCAUCACGUUUCAACAUCUGAUGUUACCAGACAAUAUUACAAUGUCAAUCUCACAAACGUGUUUGAGAGUUCAGCCCCAGUCUUUGUAAUGCAGUACCAGGUGAAUACUCUAGAUGGGUUUGAUGGUUCAACCCCAGUCCUCAUUUCAGUCCCUAGAUCCGGUCCAGUCAAAGUCAUUGUGUUUCAACAUUGAUAAUGGCAGACGACUAACCAUUUCAACCCAGUUGACAGACGUGUUCGAUGGGUCAACACUGGUCCUCAUCCAUUUGCAGUCACUCUUUCCCUCUUCUUUUUGACUUGACAAAACCAUGUGUAAAUCCAGAUUAUUGCUUUGCUAGAUUCAAGUAUGUGGUUCUGUAUAUUCAAGUAUGUGUAAACCCUAAAAAGCCUUUGGACUUUUCUAGCAAAUACAAUGUAAUCCAGAAGAUAUCUUCCAGCUUGUAAUUAUACUUGUAUUGAUUAUCAUGUAGAUUUUGUAGAAAAGUUACAGUAAGCCACAAAAUUAGUAUGAUCUUGAAAUAGAUUUUAUUUUGACUCA